rnacentral:rRNA from 1 species
CUACCAAGACAGUGACGGUUGACGGGGAAUCAGGGUUUGAUACCGGAGAGGGAGCCUGAGAGAUAGCUCCCACGUCCAUGGACGGCAGCAGGCGCGAAAAUUGCCCACUCUUUGUAGGAGGCAGUUAUGAGACGUGAGAUUGAAUAUUUUGUAAAGAGGAAUAGGAGAAUUGGAGGGCAAGUUUGGUGCCAGCCGCCGCGGUAAUACCGACUCCAAGAGUGUGUAUGAGAGAUGCUGCAGUUAAAAAGUUCGUAGUCGUAGAGAUUGAAAUAGGGAUGUGAAGUCUCUGUAGUUAGUUUUAGAAAAACCGAUGGGGAACAUAGUAUACCAGGGCGAGAGAUGAAAUGCCAAGACCCCUGGUGGACUAAGCGAGGCGAAAGCGAUGUUCUUGUAGGUAUUUGAUGAUCAAGGACGAAGGCUGGAGUAUCGAAAGUGAUUAGAUACCGCAGUAGUUCCAGCAGUAAAAGAUGCC